rnacentral:rRNA from 1 species
UACGAAGGGGGCUAGCGUUGCUCGGAAUCACUGGGCGUAAAGGGUGCGUAGGCGGGUCUUUUAAGUCAGGGGGUGAAAUCCUGGAGCUCAACUCCAGAACUGCCUUUGAUACUGAGAUCUUGAGUUCGGGAGAGGUGAGUGGAACUGCGAGUGUAGAGGUGAAAUUCGUAGAUAUUCGCAAGAACACCAGUGGCGAAGGCGGCUCACUGGCCCGAUACUGACGCUGAGGCACGAAAAGCGUGGGGGAGCAAACAGG